GAAAUGCGAUACGUAUCAUGAAUUGCAGAACUCUGAAUGAUAAAUGUUUGAACGCACAUUGCGCCAGCCUUUGGUUGGCAUGUCUGUCUGAGAAUCUUCAAGUUUUCUCUCUUGAAAAAUGCAAUUUGCCUUUUUUUUGAGGCCCUUGACAGCUCUACAAUUCCAGCUAGGCUGUUGAAAUUAAUGUUACCGUCUCGCAGCCUGAAGGGUUGGGUGAUUUUGACCAACUCAAUUUCACCGAAUCUCUUAAAUCAGGCUAAGCAUACUUGGUCUCAGAUCAGACAGGAGGACCCGCUGAACUUAA
rnacentral:misc_RNA from 1 species